rnacentral:lncRNA from 1 species
AUAAUAGCUGCAAAAAUAUAAAGUGUAGUUUAUUGAAUUUAGGAUUUUCACUUCACUGAUAGACCAGUCUUAGGUUGAUCAUUAUGGAAGAGUUAUUACAGAGAUAUUGCUGAAGCCCUCCACAAAGUUAACUUUAAUCUUGUGCCACAGACCAGAGAUUUCCGAUCUAUAAUAAUCUAUUUCAUAAGCACUCACAGAAGCAAGCAAUUGAAUAGUCUUCCUUUUGUGGUGUAUUUAGGUCUUCUUUAAGUAUCUGGACUAAAAACCAUCUUAACUUCAUGUUCCUGGCAGUACUGUGUUUGGGACAUUGUUAAACUCCAAUAAAUAGUGCUGAGUACUGAAAAGGAGAAAAUCAUCCUGAAUCCUUCCUCAGAAGAGAAUUGAUCAGUUCACCUGCUUGAUAAUAUUUUUCCUCUCUAAUCAAAAUGUUCCCCUCCUAAAUCCCAGGAUGGAAAAUGAGUAAGACAGAUAAAAUGGUAAAAUUAAAUGAAAUGACAUCCAUUGCAUUUACAAGUUUUGAAAAUAAAAUACUAAAGGACAGACUUUUUGACACUGAAGUCUUACAUAGGCAGAACAUUCAUUACGAAACAAACAUAACUAAAGUAAAAUCUCAGUUUUUAAGAUCCUGAAUUCAUUAUUUAUGCUUUUCAACUUUUUCUUAUGGGGAUGGUUUAAAUUUAAAUCCAAAAUAUACUGUAAUAUCUCCUCUGACCUCAAGUCCUGGAAAGAUAAAAUACACUGAUUUUUGUUGUUGUUGUUGUUAGACCUGAUGUUUCCAAAAUACUCUUUGGAAAAUCUUCCUUUCAAAUGCCACUCAGAAAUUCAUUUUUUUUUUUUUUUUUCAUUUGGAGCAUGCAACUCCAUGGCUCAGUAGUUGCCAUGGGCCUCAGCCUUCAGUCUGGCGGUGGAGGGGAGACAAACCAGGAACGUGAGCUUUACAAAAGAGGUUAAUAUAAAUACCACAAUGGAUAUUUCCUGGUUAUUUUGGAAAAACUUACUGAGAAAGGGCCUGUGAGAAAAGGAAGGCUUCCUGCAGGGCACUGCACCUAAGCAGAUAGGCAGGCAGUGGAUGAAAUAGCUAAAAUAAAGAUAAGAAGGGACAGCUUGGGAAAAGACUGAAAGAAAACUACAAAGAAUAUAGGUUACAAGAAAAUUCUGUUACUAGAGCAAGGGGUUUACCGAUGGGAUGCAGGUGAGGACUUGUAUAAGGAGUUUUGACAUAUACCUUGACACAUACUAAUGUGCUACUUCCUAAAACAACCCUGAGCGGGUAUUAUUUUUCAGAUGAAGGAAGAGGAAUGGAUUGAGUAAUUUAUGUCAGGUCACACAUCUAGGAAAUGGCAGAGCCAGUACUGGAAUCCAAAACCAAUGUCAUAUUCUUAACCUCCACACUACUUGGCAGCUACAUGGAGGACAAAUUUUAUGGGGACAGAAUUGGGGGAAAGAUCUAUCUGGAAUUUUACUGCAGUAGACUAGGCAAGACUUAACAAGGCCUCAAUUAAAACACUACAGUAUAAAAUGGGGAUCAGACUAUAGGCUCUGGACUCGAGACUCCCUCAGCUAAAAUAAAAGUUUUGGCUCAACAAACCUAACAGGUAUGGUUGUAGAAAAGAAACUUUGGUGUGCCUCAGUUUCCCCAUCUGUAAACUAGAAAUAGCAACACUACCUGACAUUAACCUCAGAUUUUACAGAUUAAGAGAGACCAUAUACCUAAUGUACACUUAGCCUAGUGGUCAGUAAUGGGUGCUCAAAAAGUUGGCCAUUAUUAGAAUGCUACAGAUGACAGAUACAGUAAUGGUCUUGUUAAGAGUAAAUUAGCAGGCCGGACGCAGUGACUCAGGCCUGUAAUCCCAGCAUUUUGGGAGGCCGAGGCAGGUGGAUUCCCUGAGCUCAGGAGUUUGAGACCAGCCUGGGCAACACGGUGACACCCCGUCUCUACAAAAAUACAACAUAUUAACCAGGUGUGGCAUCGUGUGCCUGCAAUCCCAGCUACUUAGGAGGCUGACAGGAGAAUCACUUGAACCUGGGAGGUGGAGGUUGCAGUGAGCCAAGAUCUUGCCAUUGCACUGCAGCCUGGGCAACACUGAGACUCCAUCUCAAAAAAAAAGAAAAACAAAGAGUAGAUUGGCAGAACUAGGGGACUGAUUUGGGGCAAAGUGGAGAGGAGAUAAUGGAUGGAAAGGAGGCAGGGAAAACUAACAGGUUUUUCGCCUGGCGGGUAGUUAACAAGGUCGAUGGAGAGGCAACUGACUAAAAUAGAGAAGCUGGUUCAUUGGAAACAGAGAUGACAUCUUUUCCUUUCAGACAGUUUGAGUUUAAGGUGUCAACAGGACAUCCAAACAUAUAUGCCCAGUAAGCACAUGAAUAUGAAACUCAGGGAAGUGGUUGUGGGGAGUCACCAGCAAAUAGGUGGUGAUAAAGUGUGUUAGAACAGUGGGCUAAGGAUAACAGUCCAUAAAAUAUAAACAUUAUUUUGGGUUAAUAUACAAAAUGCAAUGAAAUUCAAACGACAUGAAAAUACAGAAAAUGAAAUUUAGUACUGUGAGAAUGAAGAAUUACUUCUGAUAUUUAAAUAGUAUGUUCCUACAGUUUAGAAAAAUGAGGGUACUAAAGCACAUUUUGAUCCAGUCAGGACAAAUGCCCUCUAUACACUCAGAUUGAGUCAAAGUUUUUACAAAGGUAUGCUCAGAAAGACCAAAGAAAAUUUGAUGUUAUCUUUAACAAAUAAUGCAACAUUUUCAAAAAGGCCAUUUUUAUAACACUUUUUAAAGCAUAAUGAAAACACUUGGCUCUCAAGAUUGUCCCAAGAAUUAUCCCCAAUAAAAUUCAAAGUGUCAUCACUACAGAAACAAACCCAGCAGGACCACUUCUGCAUGCAGGCAGUAUUAGGUCUCAGAUGCUCCCUUUCUGCCUCCUGAUAGAGUGGAUGCAGGAACUUUGGGGACAUGAUGAACCACACACAAAAUGAACGAAAUGGCAGAGCACUCUCAUUUUGGAAAGUUUCUCUCAGGUAAUAUCCCAUCACUGCCUAUUAAGACUAAAGGAUUAAGUACUAAUUUACACUCAUAAGGGACUAAUAAAAUUUCCUGGCCUGUCACUUAAGGAGAAAAACCAGCAGACCAGACGUGAAGAUAAACCCUCAGAGCUACUAAUGCCUCAUUCAGGACUCUUUCCCACAGAUUAGUGUUGAGAUUAUCACACGGCUUACACAGUAGGGAGGAAAUGCAUAGCCAGGACUCUUACCAAGUCCGGUAAAUAAGGAAUACCUAGAUACUACUGUUUCUGUCAAUGCCAUAGACACUUAGAUGACCCGUUAAUUUUACUUCAUCCCAACAAUGACCGUGCAGAAUCUGCGUCCCUGACGCAAAGCAGGAAGCAAAUAUUUGGGCAAGAAAAUAAAGUCAGUUACAGAUUUCACAAGUAUCUUGUACACCAGUCUGUAAUUUUUAAUUAGAAUUAGCUAAAAGACAUUGUAC